UUGGAGGGCAAGUCUGGUGCCAGCAGCCGCGGUAAUUCCAGCUCCAAUAGCGUAUAUUAAAGUUGUUGCAGUUAAAAAGCUCGUAGUUGAAUUUUAGGCCUGGCUGAGUGGUCUGCCUUUUGGUACGUACUGCUCUGGCUGGGUCUUACCUUCUGGUGAGCCUGCAUGCCCUUUACUGGGUGUGUAGGGGAACCAGGACUUUUACUUUGAAAAAAUUAGAGUGUUUAAAGCAGGCAUUCGCUUGAAUACAUUAGCAUGGAAUAAUAGAAUAGGACUUUGGUUCUGUUUUGUUGGUUUUUA
rnacentral:rRNA from 1 species